GAGUGUCGCCUCACCUUCCACAGCAUGUAUAUGAGCAGUGCGAGGAGCAGCAGGCCACCCAGGACGCUGCCGAUGAUGAUCCACAGCGGCACGGAGGAGCCGCGCUCCUUGGUGAUCUCCAUCACGAUCUGGGGUGCCUCGCCUGUGCUGCGUGCCCACGUACCAGCUCGUCCAUCGCCCUCAGGUCCUCCUCGUAGACUGGCAGCGUCGCCUCCCUCUUGAUCAGCUGCUGCCAGUCGGUCUCCGGACUCGUGCGGCACGUCACGCCGACAUCCUGUCACCCCACACACGCAACGCACGUGCAGCCGGAACCUGUUGUGCGUCGCGCCCCUCGUGGCGCUCGCUCACCGUCUCGACGUGAGACAGCGUGAGCAGAGGGUUCCCACCCGGCGUGACUGCCGGCACGGAGAUGAGCACCUCCAGCCGAGCGAGCGGGAACA